rnacentral:tRNA from 1 species
ACCUAGGUGGCUGAGUUGGUUAAGCAUCUGACUUCAAAUCAGGUCAUGAUCUCAUUGGUCAUGGGUUUGAGCCCCAUAUUGGGCU